CCCUUAGAUGUUCUGGGUCGCACGCGCGCUACACUGAUGCAUUCAACGAGCCUAUCCUUGACCGACAGGUCCGGGUAAUCUUUGAAUCUGCAUCGUGACGGGGAUAGAUUGUUGCAAUUAUUAAUCUUCAACGAGGAAUGCCUAGUAGGCGCAAGUCAUCAGCUUGCGUCGAUUACGUCCCUGCCCUUUGUACACACCGCCCGUCGCUCCUACCGAUUGGGUGUGCUGGUGAAAUGUUCGGAUCGGCCGUUUGUCGCGGUUUCCGCGGCUCGUGGCUGAGAAGUUCAUUAAACCCUCCCACCUAGAGGAAGGAGAAGUCGUAACA
rnacentral:rRNA from 1 species